AACGAACGCUGGCGGCAGGCUUAACACAUGCAAGUCGAGCGGAUGAGAAGAGCUUGCUCUUCGAGUUAGCGGCGGACGGGUGAGUAAUGCCUAGGAAUCUGCCUGGUAGUGGGGGACAACGUUUCGCGAGGAACGCUAAUACCGCAUACGUCCUACGGGAGAAAGCAGGGGACCUUCGGGCCUUGCGCUAUCAGAUGAGCCUAGGUCGGAUUAGCUAGUUGGUGAGGUAAUGGCUCACCAAGGAGACGAGCCGUAACUGGUCUGAGGGGAUGAUCAGUCACACUGGAACUGAGACACGGUCCAGACUCCUACGGGAGGCAGCAGUGGGGAAUAUUGGACAAUGGGCGAAAGCCUGAUCCAGCCAUGCCGCGUGUGUGAAGAAGGUCUUCGGAUUGUAAAGCACUUUAAGUUGGGAGGAAGGGCAGUAAGCGAAUACCUUGCUGUUUUGACGUUACCAACAGAAUAAGCACCGGCUAACUCUGUGCCAGCCGCCGCGGUAACAC
rnacentral:rRNA from 1 species